CCUGUAACUUAGCUCCUCGCAGCGAGGGAACCGCCAGAAGGCCCUCGGCACUGGACCUCAGUGUCCGGGCGGAACGAUGGAGGUGGUUUAUAUAUGUUUUUAAUUAUUACCCCUCCCCUUAUAUUUCUAAGAUGUUCUUAUUUUAUCUGAAAGCCACCUUGAGUCCCUGCCAGGGAAAAUAUAAUAUAUAUAGAUCAAUAUCUAAUAAUAAUUUUAAUGAGCAGCUCAUUGAUCUGAUUUCUUUUUCUUUUGUAAGACUUCAAAAUACCCCUGGAGGUUCUGUUAUUGUUGUUGUUGAAAAAAAGUUCUCUAAUAUACCCCUCUAUGAAUCAAACCCAACACCACAGGCUUCAGAAAUCUAAUCGGGCCUGAGAAUCACAACAGCCAGGACUGUGUGUGUGGCUUUUCGCCCAGCUCCUAAUUCCCAGUUUUCCCGCUAGUUGCUCGCAACACAUUAAACCAUGGGUAGGCAAACUAAGGCCCGGGGGCCGGAUCCGGCCCAAUCGCCUUCUAACUCCGGCCAGGAAUCAGUGUGUUUUUACAUGAGUAGAAUGUGUCCUUUUAUUUAAAAUGCAUCUCUGGGUUAUUUGUGGGGCAUAGGAAUUUGUUCAUAUUUUUUUUCCAAAAUAUAGUCCAGCCCCCCACAAAGUCUGAGGGACAGUGGACUGCUGAAAAAGUUUGCUGACCCCUGCGAUUAAACAGUUGGCUUCUCCUUCUCCAUUGGGAAUAUAUGUUUUUUAAAUAUAAAAGGGCGUCUCUGUUCUCCAUUGUCCCUGUCACACCGCCAUGCUUCAUAAACAUUUUCUGACUCCAGUCGAGUUCCUUCGGAACGCCUCAGUGUGUUCAGGUAACCAACGCCUGAGGUAACCCUCUUAACAUGUCACCUGGCUGCUGCCAAGGAUUGUGUACAUGCCCCACCAUCACCCAUGUAGCCAUUACAAACAUUUGGAUGGCUCCCCUUCUCUCUCUGCACUGCUCUUUCAAAGAAGGAGCCAUAGGUAUCAGACGACAGUGCGUUUGACUGGGGAAUUUUAUCAACAUCUCCUCAGAAGUUCGUCCUGGGUCCAGCCCACCCAUGAGGCCAGGUGAGGCAACUGCCUCAGGUAGCAGGAUCCACAGAACCAGCACAUCCCAAUGUCAAUCUUUAUUCCCGCCCAAAUUCCUGGUGAGAGAGGCACCAUUUUGGGGUUCUCCUCAGGCGCCAAAAUGUCUUGGGCUGGCCCUGGUAAGUCCUAUAGCAGUGAUGGUGAACCUUUUAGAGACCGAGCACCCAAACUGCAACUCAAAACCCACUUAUUUAUCGCAAAGUGCUAACACGGCAAUUUAACCCGUAUAUCUCAUUUUUUCUGUGCGUUUCAUGUUUCUUCUUUAUGACUGCUGUUGUAAUAAAUAAUCCUUCAUAAAAGUUACUGCGUUACAUUCUUCAUUAAAUUAUCUUUCCCUUGAUAUAUAAUUUUAUGGUUAUAACUCAGUGCUUUUUUUUCUUAAAAAAUGUUUAGGGGUACUCUCAUUUUGACUCAAGAAAAUCACCACCGGGGGAAAAUAAAUACAGUUCAAAUCGGGGGAAAUAAAUACAGUGAAUUUCUUCUCCUGUUAAAUUCACAAAAUGUUUAGGGGUAUGCGUCCCCCUGCGUCCCCACAGGAAAAAAAGCGCUGGUAUUACUCCAAAACAAAGUGGUGUUAUGAGCCAUCAAACCUCGGAAAUACCAAAAGGUUCCACAAUUUUGGCCACUAGUGUACACUGGAGGGCUGCACUAAGAGCCACCCUCUCCCAGUUUUUAAUAUGAGAUAAUAAUCACUGGUUGUGUGCGCACAUACAAAUAUAAAUAAAUAAAUAAAUAAAUAAACCCAGCCAGAUGGGUGGGGCAUAAAUAAUAUAUUAUUAUUACAGUGGUACCUCUGGAUGCAAACAGGAUCCAUUCCGUAGCCCCGUUCGCAUCCCAAAGCGAACGCAACCAGCGUCCGCGAGUCGCCGCUUCCACGCAUGUGCGUGAUGUCAUUUUGACCGUCUGCGCAUGCACAAGCGGUGAAACCCGGAAGUAACACACUCCGUUGCAGAUGCAGCGCGCAACCUGAAAAUACUCAUCCCGAAGCUACUUCAACCUGAGGUAUGACUGUAUUAUUAUUAUUAUUAUUAUUAGCCGUUUUUUCGGCUGCCAUUUGAUCGCAGCCUCCACGGAAUGAAUUUCUCUGUUGGCUUCCGCGGGAAAGCCCAGCAAACAUGUAAACCCAGCAGCCCCUUCUUAGGUUGCCAGCUUUAUAUGCUUACUGACCUGGGAGUUAAGCCCUGCUGAACUCAGGGUGGCUUACUCUCGAGUAGGAAAAACAGACUGGCUGGAGGCCCUGGCGCAUCAAAAGUCAAUGCCUGCUCAGCCCCUCGCUCGUUUGCCAGGCCCUGGUGUCACAGGCUUUGAAUGGCAAGCUAUGGCCCUGCUGGGGCAACGGUGUGCAUGCCCACAGAGAGGGCUCUGAGUGCCCUCUCUGGCACGUGUGCCAUAGGUUCGCCACCACUGUCUUAUUUGAUUCAGUGGGGCUUAUUUCCAGCUAAGCAGGGCUAGGACUGCAGCCUGCACCGCACCGAACAUAGCAGGGCUUGUGGGUAGAAUGAAACAUUUUCUAUCCUGUCUUAAAAUAUUAUUACAUGUCCCUCGGUUCUCUGAGUGUGAGAAUGACAGGGGCACAGUUGUACGCAUGAGCCAUACCUCAUGUUACGUUUGCUUCAGGUUGAGCAUUUUCAGGUUGCGUCCCGCGGCGACCCGGAAGUACCGGAAAUGGUUACUUCCAGGUUUUGCCGCAUGCGCAGACGCGCAAAAUGACGUCAUGUGCAGAAGCUGCAAAUCGAGACACGCAGACGCGGAUUGCAUUCUGCUCAUGUUGCGAAUGGACCUCUGGAACGGAUCCCAUUUGCAGCCAGAGGUACCACUGUAUAGUUUUAUUAGGUUAGAGUGAGUUAUUUAAUUUCUAUACUGCUUAAUAUAUUAGAAAUGUCUCUAAGCAGUGUACAAAGAACUGAAACAACCAACAACUUAAAAUACCCAGUUACAUAUACUUUUUAAAAAAAUAUCCAGUUACAUAGACAGUGGUACCUCAGGUUACAUACACUUCAGGUUACAUAUGUUUCAGGUUACAGACUCUGCUAACCCAGAAACAGUGCUUCAGGUUAAGAAUUUUGCUUCAGGAUGAGAACAGAAAUCGUGCUCUGGCGGUGUGGUGGCAGCAGGAGGCCCCAUUAGCUAAAGUGGUGCUUCAGGUUAAGAACAGUUUCAGGUUAAGAACAGACCUCCGGAACGAAUUAAGUACUUAACCCGAGGUACCACUGUAGACAUGUUACCUUAAUGCAAAGUGCCUAAUAUAUAUUAAUAAAUAAUAUCAAUUCAUUUUCUUUCUGACACAUCCUCCCUCUCAGCCUCCAGGUUCUCACCCAGGGUCCAAACAAACUCUCGGCUCACCCACAAAAGUCUCACAACGAGAAUGGUUUUUGGUUUCAGCGGACAUCACCCUAAUCUUUAGACUUGCUUUUUAUGAGCAGGGCCAAGAUGGAUGCUACUUCCUUUAGGCUGCUCAUAGCUGUGUCCCAUUCAGUUGCGCUCUGCACACCCAUUUCCAAGUACAGCUGGUUUGUUGAGUUUCCCUGGGGGUCCAAAGGAUGGGGAAAGAGCCCCCCAUGACUCACAGCUCUUUCUUCACCCUCUGUCCUCUCUUCCUCCUCUGGCUGCUUUUUUCACUUAUUCUGAAGGUUCACACAGCUUAGACACAAUGUGUGUAGAAGACAAUAACAACAACAUCAUAAGUAACACUGUGGAAGCAUCUGCCAUGGUUCCUCAUUGUUCAGUAUUGACUUUGUGAAGAAAAAGAGCUUUGGUUAUCUAGACUGUAUGGGCUUUGCUUUUAUAAACUGUACUGUAUUGUGCUAUGAAAAAAUAUAAUACAGUAUCUUGCAUCUCUGCUGGGGUUAUGGAUGUGGAUACACUGAAGACCAGGUGGAGCUGAGGAUUAAAACCUUCCUUGAAUGUGUUUUGCAAGCCAGUACCCAGAGGCUAUAUCUGCCAGUGACUUGCCUUUUGAGAGUUAGAUCAAGGGGGACAAAGGAAGUACAGGAGAAGGGUGUCAGAGAACAGAGGAUGGGUAGAAGUCUGUAGCCUAUGGGAAUGUGGAGAGAGAGGAAGAGAGUGUGAAGGGUUUAAUUUUUCCUUUGAUUUGUUUCCCCACCUGUUGGUGGGUUCAGGUGGUUUUUCUAUCUAUUCUAUAACAUAAAACCCUUUCCCUAAAAACUCUUUAUUCUAUCAAUUUAGAAAACUCUUCUGUGUGUGUGUGUGUGUGUGUGUGUGUGUGUGUGUGUGUGUGUGUGUGUGUGUUGCUUUAAAAAAUGUUUAGGGGUACUCUAAUUUUGACUCAAGAAAAUCACCAACUUAUAGUUCAAAUUGGGAAAAAUCAAUACAGUAAAUGGACAAAAGUACAAAGAUUCACAAAAUGUUUAGGGGUAUGCAUCCCCUGCAUCCCCCCAGAAAAAUACACACACACACACAUACACACCACCCAUCUGUUGACUUGGUUGCCUCAGCCACUCUGGGUGGCUUCCAACAUAAUAUAUAUUAACACAACAGCAGCAGCAGAACAGCUACAAAUCAAAACAUCCCAGUACAGGGCUGCCUUCAUAUGUCUACAGAAGAUUGUAGAAUUAUUUAUGUCCUUGACAUCUGGCAGGAGGGCGUUCCACAGUGCACGCACGGCUACGGGAAUCCAAGGUAGAUCUUUUAGAUCCCUUUCCCUAGAAACUCCUUAAUUCUAUCAAUUUAGCAAACUUUUAUCUAUGUUCCACUAAAACCUUGCGGCCUCCAUGUAUAUACCACCCAUGUCUUAAGCCACAUUCUACACUAAGGUAAAGGUAAAGGGACCCCUGACCAUUAGGUCCAGUCGUGACCGACUCUGGGGUUGCGGCCCUCAUCUCGCUUUAUUGGCCGAGGGAGCCGGCGUACAGCUUCCAGGUCAUGUGGCCAGCAUGACUAAGCUGCUUCUGGCGAACCAGAGCAGCACAUGGAAACACCAUUUACCUUCCCGCCAGAGCGGUACCUAUUUAUCUACUUGCACUUUGACGUGCUUUCGAACUGCUACACUAGUUUAGUCCAAAUAAGGCAGAGGUAAUGUCAGGAAGCACAGCUGACUAGUGGCUGAUGGGAGAAAUAUCCGUUCUUGACAGAGUCAUGCCCCCUCCCUUGGGGAUCAGGACCACCGCACUGCAGGGGCCAGGAGGGCUCACAUUGCUCCUGGAUGCCCAGGUAGCGGCUGUGGGUUUUCUCAACUUCAGUUUGCAUGGCAACUGCUCCUGCUGCAGGAAGACAGGGAUCAGCUACUGUCAUUCAUGCUUUGGUGACUUCUGGAUUAGAUUACUUUAAUGAGCUUUAUGUGCAGCUGCCCUUGAAGAUGUUCUGGAAACUUCAGCUGGUUCAGAAUAUGGUUGCUCAGCUGCUGACAAGCCUAAGCUGUCACAAAUGUAUAAUGCCUGUUCUAAACUUCCAGCUCAAUUUAAGGUGUUGAUCUUCUACUUUUAAAGCCCUAAACCAGGGGUGAGAAGUCUUUUUUUCGGGCCAAGAACUGCAUUACCCUAGUGGAGAGCUGUGGGGGUUUGCAUUCCAGUAGUCACAGAAUUGUAGAGUUGGAAGUGACCCAAAAAUAAUUUAGUCCAACCCCUGCCAAGGCCAGAGCCUAAAGUGGACAGGGCCAGCUCCAGUCCCAAUCACAACCUUAACAGAUACACUGGCACACAACCACGCAUGCACAGAAGCAUACAGCCUUAGAAACAAGGUCAUAUGCUCAAUUAUUAGUAACGCCACUCAAAUUUCGCCUUCCGUUUUCUCUCUAGACUUUUUUCUGUACAAAGUAUGAAGCAGCAGCAGCUCAGAACCUAUUAUCUAUCCUGACUGUGCAAAAAAAUGAAACAAACUGAGUGAUCCCAGCGGAAGAAAGCAAAUAAGGUAAAUGCACAACUGAACAAGCCCUGCCUUAAAGGUAAAGGGUAAAGGGACCCCUGACCAUUAGGUCCAGUCGUGACCAACUCUGGGGUUGCGGUGCUCAUCUCGCUUUAUUGGCCGAGGGAGACGGCGUACAGCUUCUGGGUCAUGUGACCAGCAUGACUAAGCCGCUUCUGGCGAACCAGAGCAGCGCACGGAAACGCCAUUUACCUUCCCCCCGGAGCGGUACCUAUUUAGCUACUUGCACUUUGAUGUGCUUUCGAACUGCUAGGUUGGCAGGAGCAGGGACCGAGCAACGGGAGCUCACCCCGUCACGGGGAUUCAAACCGCCGACCUUCUGAUCAGCAAGUCCUAGGCUCUGUGGUUUAACCCACAGCGCCACCUGUGUCCCCAAGCCCUGCCUUACAUCUAUUUAAAACCUCGCUUCAAAAUGGAAUUGCCUCCUGAAGAUAGCAUGAAUGCAAUUGUGAAAUGCAUGGAUUGCUUUUUGUAGAUUUGCAAGUGACACAAGUCUGCAGGGGCAGUUUCUGAGCACAAUUCAGAGUCUUGGUACUGACCUUUAAAGCUCUAAAUGGCCUAGUAUAGUCUAGUAUACCUGAAGGAGCGUCUCCACCUCCAUCGUUCUGCCCGGACACUGAGGUCCAGUGCUGAGGGUCUUCUGGAGGUUCCCUCGCUGCGAGAAGCCAAGUUACAGGGAACAAGGCACAGGGCCUUCUCAGUAGUGGCACCCACCCUGUGGAAUGCCCUCCCACCAGAUGUCAAAGAGAAAAACAACUACCAGGCUUUUAGAAGACAUCUGAAGGCAGCCCUGUUUAGGGAAACUUUUAAUGUUUAAUAGACUAUUUUAUUUUAAUAUUCUGUUGGAAGCUGCCUAGAGUGGCUGGGGAAACCCAGCCAGAUGGGCGGGGUACAAAUAAUAAAUUAUUAUUAUUAUUAUUAUUAUUAUUAUUAUUAUUAUUAUUGUCUUUGUGUAGAGCAGAGAUGCAGAACUGUGGCACUCCAGAUAUUAUUGGCCUGCCACUUCUAUCAGUCCUAGACAGAAUGGCCGACGCUCAGGGGUGGUGGGAUUUGUAGUCCAACAGCAUACGGAAGAAGUUGAAAUUGCACAUUAGAGUCGUUCCCCUCUCAGCUGCUUCUUGCUGAACAGUUGAAUGUUGAAAGGAGACCCAGAGGGCAUGAUGAAAUCUGUCUAUUGUCAUGUCCACCCACCACAAGUCAUAGGUUCUCCCCUGCCUGCCCCAGAUUAUCUGAGGGAACACCUUAUCUGACAUAUACCUCUCCAUUCUUUGAGGUCUAGUACUGAGACUUUGGGUGGAUGCCUUCCUAAACAGAGGUUAGAUUAUCCUCAACAGUUAAUGAAAAAGCACCCAAUUUUUUGCCAAAUCAAGCAUAUGUAAGCAUAAUUAUAUUCUUACAUAUUGCAGCCACAGUACCUCUCUGUCCUCUUUUCAUAUUUUAAAAGAUAAUGAGUUGGAUCCAGACUAUCUUAACUAGUACAGUGGGACACAUUAUUCACCACUAGCUUUUCACAGUGAUUUCAGUGAGUCCUAAUUGAGACUAACUGAGGCUAUGUACACAUUACUGGCUUAAAAUGCAGAGAGGUUGUUAGUUGCGCCUCAAACUAAGAGAUGCCAGGGAUCAAAACUGGGGCCUCCACCACCGUCGCUCUACCACUGAGCUACAUUUACACUGAGCCUCUUGGGCUUGCCGAUCAGAAGGUUGGCGGUUCAAAUCCGCUCAACGGUGGUGAGCUCCCAUUGCUCUGUCCCAGCUCCUGCCAGCCUAGCAGUUCAAAAGCACACCAGUGCGAGUAAAUAGGUACCGCUCUGGCGGGAAGGUAAACAGUGUUUCUGUGCACUCUGACACUCGUCACGGUGUCCUGUUGCGUCAGAAAUGGUUUAGCCAUGUUGGCCACAUGACCCGGAAAGCUGUCUAUGGACAAACGCCGGCUCCCUCGGCCUGAAAGCGAGAUGAGCACUGCAACCCCAUAGUUGCCUUUGACUGCAUUUAACCAUCCAGGGAUCCUUUAUCUUACCUUACACCUUACCUUACACAGUGUCCACACAAGAUAGGGGCCAGGGGUGUCAUCACCUGAUGUGCAUCAUCUCCUGCCUGGUUUCCCCACACCUGAACCCCCCCCCCCCCAAAUCCUUUGUUAAUGAAGCUGUCUUACGUUUUCAAACUGGGUGGGUUUGAGAGAAAACACAUCAGUAUUUAUUGAGGAAAUACAGGAUACAUAUGGAUUGUAGCUGACGUCAUGUGCAUAAGACUUCAAACAGCAGCGGUGGGAAUGCACUGGAGCCAGAGUAAAUGGGAAUAUGUACACAGCCUUAGUCUGGAUCCAGUUCAAAACUUUCAUGAAUGUGGGUUCUUGUAUAUUAUGUGGUGAAACUCAACACAUUGGAGCAACAUGCCUGCUUUAAGAGUAAAUUUGUGUGGGUGACUCUUCCACCUGCUGGCCUUGUACGGAACAUAUUUUCCUUACGCACAGCAGAGGACUCUCCAUAGUCAGCCACACGAAGACAAAAUCUGGAGGGCUUAAUCUAUAGCAUUGCUUUGGCGCCCCCUGCAGCAGUGUGGCAGCUGGGGUCACGCCACCCUAUAACCCAGGCUUCCUCAACCUCGGCCCUCCAGAUGUUUUUGGCCUACAACUCUCAUGAUCCCUAGCUAGCAGGACCAGUGGUCAGGGAUGCUGGGAAUUGUAGUCCCAAAACAUCUGGAGGACCGAGGUUGAGGAAGCCUGCUAUAACCACUUCUGAUAAAUGUAUGAUUAGUUCUUUGUUGUGUAAAUGUAGGUUACUGUCGUCAAAAAUAUAUAGGAGCGCCAACUGGGAUGUAGGAACAGCGCGAUAGUGUAAGAUUUUAUCUCCCUAAAUACCAGAGACCAAAAUGGUUGCACUUGGUCACCUCCCCACCAAAGGCAAUAACAGGACCAUUUCUGAACAACCUCUCCAACAUCUAGGGGAUGUAAAUGGGUCUAUCCUUAUAGAGGUCUAAUAGACACCCUAUUUCAAGCCAACCAUUUCCAAAUACUUGAUUCCAUCAAAUGGGUACACUACCACCUCCCACUGGACGCGGGUGGCGCUGUGGGUUAAACCACAGAGCCUAGGACUUGCUGAUCAGAAGGUUGGGGGUUCGAAUCCCCGCAACGGGGUGAGCUCCCGUUGAUCGGUCCCUGCUUCUGCCCACCUAGCAGAUAGAUAGAACAGGACUGGGUGCUUGUUGCUGAAGGCUGAAAUAUAGAAGUGACCUGAACUUUUUUUCCCUUUUAACCCUGUUACCCUUAACUCUUUUAAAGCACUCAAAAGCAUAACGGACAUUUCCCCCCUUCUUUUUCUUUAGUAUCUGAUGGCAAAGGAGGGAAACAGCCCUAGAGGAGUAGAAUCUCUGCUGUGAGCACUACAGUCCUGUUCAGGGAAGUUUUUAAUGGUUGAUGUUCUACUGUAUCUCUAAUAUUUUGUUGGGAGCCGCCCAGAGUGGCUGGGGCAACCUGGUCAGAUGGGUGGCAUAUAAAUAAUAAACUUAUUAUUAAUAAUAAUACGGUUAGUUGGCUGGUUGGCCAACUACAUGGUAACUCAGGCCUAAUUUCUGAUCUUUUGAGUGUGUGCAGCUCAGCAUGAGGUCUUUGCAAAGUUUUUUUCAGGUGGGGGAAUAAAUCUUUAUUAAACAAUCAACAUUAACUUACACAACAACAAUACAAUAUAUUCAUCACACAACACAAAUCUUACUACAUACACUUACUUUACAGAAGAGAAAAAAGAAAAAGAUAAAAGAUUAAAGUAAAUAAAACAAACUUCCGAUUAUUCUCAUUGUACUAUUUCUUAUUUUGUUAUUAUACACACAUUGCCUUAUUGUUGCUUUUUGCUUUCCCAAGUCUUAUCCAGGAUAUUCUAUUGCUUAUCACCUUUAUAUUGCAAGAAUCGUUCAAGGUCUGCCAGGAGAUUUUUGUUAUCACAAUAAUUUUUCAAAUACUUUUUAAAUGCUAUCCAUUCUUUAUUAACCUUCUGCAUCAGAUAUCCUCUAACUCUCCCUCUCAUCUUUGCCUGUUGUAUGUAUUCUAUCAUUUUUACCUGCCAUUUGGUUUUCAUGGGGAUCUUUUCACUUCUCCAGUUCUUUGAUAGCAGAAUCCUGUCUGAUGUUGUUGCAUACAUGAAGAGAGGUCUGACAUUUUUCUUAAAUUCUGUUGAUAUUAUUCCUAACAGGAAGGCCUCCGGUCUUUGCAGAGUUUAUGGGCAGAAAAAUAAACCCAGUAACCAGCAAAAAGAAAAGAAAAGAAAAAAAAGAAUCCAUUUGCUUUCCACCCACUUUUGUGUUGGGGUGAUGUAACCCGAAGUACAGUGAUGUAUGGAAGUGAGAGCUGGACCAUAAAGAAGGCUGAUCGCCAAAGAAUUGAUGCUUUUGAAUUCUGGUGCUGGAGGAGACUCUUGAGAGUCCCAUGGACUGCAAGAAGAUCAAACCGAUCCAUUCUGAAGGAAAUCAGCCCUGAGUGCUCACUGGAAGGACAGAUCCUGAAGCUGAGGCUCCAAUACUUUGGCCACCUCACGAGAAGAGAAGACUCCCUGGAAAAGACCCUGAUGUUGGGAAAGAUGGAGGGCACAAGGAGAAGGGGACGACAGAGGAUGAGAUGGAUGGAUAGUGUUCUCGAAGCUACCAGCAUGAGUUUGACCAAACUGCGGGAGGCAGUGGAAGACAGGAGUGCCUGGCGUGCUCUGGUCCAUGGGGUCACGAAGAGUCGGACACGACUAAACGACUAAACAACAGCCCUAAGCAUGCCUGAGUUCUAGUUUGCAUUGCAAUCUGCUUCAAGCUUCCUUCUCCUGCCUUUUCACCCUUUGGCAUUAACCACCAGAGGGCUGUGUUCACCCAUCUUGGAAAAAAUGCAUAAACCGACUCUUGAUAGCCCACUGCCAAUUUCAAACUGUAUGAGGGCACACUGGUGUGCUCAAGAGAGCGGCCUGAACAAAUCUCCCUCUCUUUGGAGAGUUUGCAGAGGCAAAGUUUGCUGGCUGGUUCAGUGCACAGAUUCUAAGGAUCAGUAAAAACAGCAAAGAAGGAGACAGACAGAUGUGACUCAUCGGGCACAAUUCAGUGAGAAACUUCCUUGCUGAAAUGAGCAGAGAGUUAGGUCAUCUAAUUUUAACCUUUUUUGUGCUGUGCAAUCUCCUGGAUUUUGGAAUUAUUUCUUUCCUUUUUUUUUUUUUGGUUAUUGAAUCUAAUUUUUGCUAUUUAUUAAGAGUGUUACAGUUGUGGGUUUUUAAAGCACUGUAGUCCAUCUGUAAGUAAUGGACCAGUAUUCUAUGCCUUUUAGAGCUGCACAAGAAUUAAAAUUAC